AUCUGAGGGAUGAGAAGGAGGAAGAUGUUGAUAAUAAUAACAAGAGCCAUUUGGAAGGAAGAGGUGGUGGAGAGUUCAGUUUGGUAUCCGACCCUGUUGUUUUGAAGUGCCAACUAAAUUUCUGAAAGAAAGCUGGUUGACACACUUGUCUGACAUUCAGGAAGGACGCCAAGGCUAGAGACUGGUUGUUGUGAAUUCAUCAGCUAGGAAGUGUUAUCUUGAAAUCAUAUCUUGGAAAUGUAAUAGUCUGUGGCCUAAUGGAAAUCACAGAGGUUUGGGGAUCAGAAAGAUUUCAAAUCAAAUCCGACAGCCAAGACUCUCCAGUUGUGUAACCUUGGGGAAUUCAUCUGAGCAUUAAUUUUCACAUCUGUAAAAUGAGGUUUCUGUUGAUCUCAGCUGGACUGUUUUGGGAGUUAAUGGAAAGCUACAGAGAAAACAUGGAGAUUUGCUUAUAACAGGAGCUCCAUCGAUGGAAGCCAACACCACCUUUGCAAGUUACCGUCCAACUUACGUUUCACGUACAGGCGGCCUAUCACCUUAGCAGUUCCG
rnacentral:lncRNA from 1 species